UUCUCAAGUUGGCGAGAAGAACAUAGGAAUACGACAUAUCUGAAGGCGUCCAUCGGAUUGCUUAAGCUAUAAGAUAUCUCAAUGGUGUAGAUCUUCAUCGUUGCAAAACACUUAUUUAUUAGUUCGACCUUGGAUCUGUUACAAACGCCGCCCGUUAAUGAGAAUAAAUGAGACGGAGUGGAAAAAAGGUGGGGUGAAGCUUAAUGAUUGAAUUAAAGCUUGAUUUUAAGUGAAAGCGAAGA
rnacentral:lncRNA from 1 species